rnacentral:tRNA from 5 species
AGCUUUAGUAAGCAACAGUAAAGCCCCAGGCUCAUAACCUGGUUGAUGCAGGUGCAAAUCCUGCC